ensembl:lncRNA
CCGUCUCUUCAGCAGCAGAGAAACACAUGUAGACUACUACAGCCCCUAAACCGUCUCUUCAGCAGCAGAGAAACACAUGUAGACUACUACAGCCCCUAAACCGUCUCUUCAGCAGCAGAGAAACACAUGUAGACUACUACAGCCCCUAAACCGUCUCUUCCUCACACUGGUUUUACACUGACACUUGAGGUAAAAGCCCCUUUAACACGUUCAUAACAUCCUUGUUGACUUGCUGCCUGGCGCCACGCCUGGGUCGUGUUCAUUAGGGCACAUACGUUUCAAAAACAUUGUGCAACACAAAAAGGCAAAUAGUACUCCCUGUUUCUGUCCAUUUUGGUGCAUUAUGAACAGGACAUCGCUUCAAAAAGGCUUUUGGGGAAAAGUGUUUCAUAUCAAAUCAGCCUACUAGCUUUAUAAAAGGUUAGACAGGUUAUCCUCUCUCAUUUGAUACAACCAGAGAGAGAGAGAGAGGACUUCUCCCACUACUCUACCAUUUAGAGAGAGAGAGAGAACUUCUCCCACUACUCUACCAUUUAGAAAGAGGGAGAGAGAACUUCUCCCACUACUCUACCAUUUAGAGAGAGAGACUUCCUAGCAGCCACAGAUUCCCCAACCCCACUAGAGGCUGUUGUGUCUGGUAGUGUCAGAGACAAUAUGACCAGUCAGAGACAAUAUGACCAGGCAGAGACAGGGCAGAGACAAUAUGACCAGUCAGAGACAAUAUGACCAGUCAGAGACAAUAUGACCAGUCAGAGACAAUAUGACCAGUCAGAGACAAUAUGACCAGUCAGAGACAAUAUGACCAGUCAGAGAUAAUAUGACCAGGCAGAGACAAUAUGACCAGUCAGAGACAAUAUGACCAGUCAGAGACAAUAUGACCAGUCAGAGACAAUAUGACCAGUCAGACACAAUAUGACCAGGCAGAGACAAUAUGACCAGUCAGAGACAGGGCAGAGACAAUAUGACCAGUCAGAGACAAUAUGACCAGUCAGAGACAGGGCAGAGACAAUAUGAC